rnacentral:ncRNA from 1 species
UAAAAAUUUUUAUAGUUUAGAAAAUUUAUUUUAAAUUUAUUUUACAUAUAAAUUUUAGUGUUAAUAUUUAUUUAUUUUAAAAAUAAAUAAUUUGAUUAAAUUAGUAAUUAAUAUUAAAUUAUUUAAGAAAUUAAUAUUUAGUAAUAUUUUAAAUUAAUAACAAAUUUUGUGCCAGCAGUUGCGGUUAAACAAAGAUUAAUAUAAAUUUUAUUAGUUAAAUUAAUAAAUAAUAGGUAAAAAUAUUUAAUGUAAAUUUUAAAUUAUUAGGUGAAAUUUUAAUUUAAUUUAAAAUUAAUUAGGAAUUUAUGAUUUAAUAAGUUUUAUUAAAAACUAGGAUUAGAUACCCUAUUAUUAAAAUUUUAAAUUUUAAUACUAAAAUAGUAAGUAAUUAUUUAUUGAAACUUAAAUAAUUUGGCGGUAUUUCAGUUCAUUUAGAGGAAUCUGUUUAUUAAUUGAUAAUCCACGAAUAAAUUUACUUAAAUUUAUAAUUUUGUAUAUCGUUGUUAAAAAAAUAUUUUUAAAUAAAAUUAAUAUUUAAAAAUUUAUAGAAAAAUUAAAUCAGAUCAAGAUGCAGAUAAUAUUUAAGAAUAUAAUGGAUUACAAUAAAAUUAUUUAAAUGAAUAUUAAUUUGAAAUAAUUAAAUUGAAAUUGGAUUUAAAUGUAAUUUUAUUUAAUUUGAUAAAAUGAUUAAAAAUUGAAAUAUGUACAUAUUGCCCGUCGCUUUCAUAUAAUUAUAAUAAAUAUAAUUUAUAAUAUGAAAAAUAUAUAAUCAAAUUGAAAUAAGUCGUAACAAAGUAGAGGUACUGGAAAGUGUUUCUAGAAAGAA